AGAGUUUGAUCCUGGCUCAGGACGAACGCUGGCGGUCUGCUUAACACAUGCAAGUCGAACGCAACCUUCGGGUUGAGUGGCGGACGGGUGAGUAACGCGUGAGAAUCUGCCUUAGGGUCGGGGACAACCACUGGAAACGGUGGCUAAUACCGGAUAAGCCGAUUGGUGAAAGAUUUAUUGCCCGAAGAGGAGCUCGCGUCUGAUUAGCUAGUUGGUGAGGUAAGAGCUCACCAAGGCAGCGAUCAGUAGCUGGUCUGAGAGGACGAUCAGCCACACUGGGACUGAGACACGGCCCAGACUCCUACGGGAGGCAGCAGUGGGGAAUUUUCCGCAAUGGGCGAAAGCCUGACGGAGCAAGACCGCGUGAGGGAGGAAGGCUCUUGGGUUGUAAACCUCUUUUCUCAGGGAAGAAGCUCUGACGGUACCUGAGGAAUCAGCCUCGGCUAACUCCGUGCCAGCAGCCGCGGUAAUACGGAGGAGGCAAGCGUUAUCCGGAAUUAUUGGGCGUAAAGCGUCCGCAGGUGGCGAUUCAAGUCUGCUGUCAAAGCACGGGGCUUAACUCCGUUAAGGCAGUGGAAACUGAAUAGCUAGAGUGCCGUAGGGGUAGAGGGAAUUCCCGGUGUAGCGGUGAAAUGCGUAGAGAUCGGGAAGAACAUCGGUGGCGAAAGCGCUCUACUGGAC
rnacentral:rRNA from 1 species